rnacentral:pre_miRNA from 1 species
UUCGCAGUAUAAUACUGCGAAUUAUAAAAAAAAAAUUUAAUAAUUCGCAGUAUUAUACUGCGAA